rnacentral:rRNA from 1 species
CUUUUUUCGCAAGGAGAGAGGGAGUGGCGGACGGGUGAGUAUCACAUGGGAACCUACCCCGAAGUGAGGGAUACCGGCGCGAAAGCGCCGACAAGCCCGCAUGAGCUCUUGCUUGAGAGAGGAAGAGGAAAGUCGGAAGACGCUUUGGGAUGGGCCUGUGGCCGAUUAGCUAGCUGGUGGGGUAACGGCUCACCAGGGCGACGAUCGGUAGCUGGUCUGAGAGGAUGAUCAGCCACACUGGGAUUGAGAACGGCCCAGACUCCUACGGGGGGCAGCAGUGAGGAAUUUUCGGCAAUGGGGGCAACCCUGACCGAGCAACGCCGCGUGCAGGAAGACGCUUUUCGGA